rnacentral:rRNA from 1 species
GACGAACGCUGGCGGCGUGCCUAACACAUGCAAGUCGAACGGAAAGGCCCUGCUUUUGUGGGGUGCUCGAGUGGCGAACGGGUGAGUAACACGUGAGUAACCUGCCCUUGACUUUGGGAUAACUUCAGGAAACUGGGACUAAUACCGGAUAGGAGCUCCUGCUGCAUGGUGGGGGUUGGAAAGUUUCGGCGGUUGGGGAUGGACUCGCGGCUUAUCAGCUUGUUGGUGGGGUAGUGGCUUACCAAGGCUUUGACGGGUAGCCGGCCUGAGAGGGUGACCGGCCACAUUGGGACUGAGAUACGGCCCAGACUCCUACGGGAGGCAGCAGUGGGGAAUAUUGCACAAUGGGCGGAAGCCUGAUGCAGCAACGCCGCGUGCGGGAUGACGGCCUUCGGGUUGUAAACCGCUUUCGCCUGUGACGAAGCGUGAGUGACGGUAAUGGGUAAAGAAGCACCGGCUAACUACGUG